GAUGAAGAACGUAGCGAAAUGCGAUAAGUAAUGUGAAUUGCAGAAUUCCGUGAAUCAUCGAAUUUUUGAACGCACAUUGCGCCCUGUGGUAUUCCGCAGGGCAUGCCUGUUCGAGCGUCAUUUCAACCCUCAAGCCCCGCUUGGUGUUGGGCCCCGCCCGCUGUGGCCGGCCCUAAAGACAGUGGCGGCGCCGCCUGGCCCUCAGCGUAGUACAUCUCUCGCUCCAGGGUCCGGUGGCCGCCUGCCAGAACCCCCCAACUCUGUGGUUGACCUCGGAUCAGGUAGGGAUACCCGCUGAACUUAAGCAUAUCAAUAAGCGGAGGA
rnacentral:misc_RNA from 1 species